ensembl:rRNA 5S_rRNA 5S ribosomal RNA
UAAAAUGUCCAUAUCACCCUGCAGCUCACAACUGGUAGCCCACUGAAGCUAAGCAGGUGUGAGCCUGGUCAGUACCUGGAUGGGAGACCUCCUGGGAAAAACUAAGGUUGCUGCUCGAA